UUCUGGUUGAAACGACCAUGGCCUCUGUUGGUGGGUACAUACUGAGGAGCUCUGUUGUCGUAUUUUUCAGUGUUGAAGGCGAGGUGAGGAGUAGUCGAGGUUGUGUCUUCAUAAGAUUGAAGCUUGUUGGCAAACCCUUGAACCUCGGAAACGACAUCGUUGAAGUUCGGUGGUGGUAGCUUGCUCAGGGAACUCUGUAUCACUGUUGCAAUCGGAUCAAACUCGCGACCCAAGCCGUUGAGAAACCCAAAGAUCUUCAUUGAUUCGUCAAUCGGCUUUCCAAUCGAGCUCAACGAGUCGCAGAUUGAC
rnacentral:lncRNA from 1 species